AUGAGAGUUGACACUGAGUGGGCCUUCUUCACAAUACCUGCUUUUGACUGGUUGGUUCGAGUUGCAGUCUUCUUAAGCCAAUAUCCAACACCAUCACUCAAGUCAAACAGUAAAUGCAGCCGACAAUCUGUGGACCUGGGUGAUUGUAUAUUGUGCUGUCAUGCCUGUGGCAUCAUCAAUAGCAGCUCUCAACAUGGAGCCCCUUUAAACAGGAUAAAAAUGACAAAGAUAACUAUAGUUAAAAAGUGGAGCAAGAAAAAAUGGAAUGAAGUUGGAGUAACUGCAUGCCUUGAAUUGGGCCACAAAUCUGGCCUGGAGCUUCCUAGCAGCCCAUGCUAUUGCCCUUUUUUGUGAUACCGAUCAUCAAUAAGUUUGGUUCUCAAAAAUCUGAAGAACAAAUUGAAAGUGUAAAUUCAUGGUCUUUAGGAAGUCUGGCAAGGCAGAUAUAAUUUUUAACAAGUACUGCAGGUCCCUUGGAGAUGAGAGUUCCAGAAAGUGCUAGAAUAAUAUCUAAGGUAAGAAUUGAGGAUUCCAUUUUUGGGGGAGAGGUUAUCACAAUAUGCAUAGUGGACAAUCUGAAUGAAGGUUCCUGCGUUGCUCACAGUACUUCUGGUGGAGGUGAGAGCUGGCUCUGCUGAGGUGGAGGGAAUUCCUCAUCUCCCCAAGGCUCUCUGAGAGCUUUCUUAUGAGAUGCGUCAUUGCAUGGUAAAGCUGCCCCCUUCUUGCAUCUGGAGCUGCAGAACAAUCCAAGCUGGAAGUUGUUUCUGUCCACCACUGCUAUCAGUGGGAGCAAAUGGGCUUGCAUGUAACCUGAAUAAACUCCAAUAGGAAAAAUUAUCA
rnacentral:lncRNA from 1 species